rnacentral:tRNA from 1 species
AAAAAUUUAGUUAAACUAUAACAUUAGCUUGUCAAGCUAAAAUUAUUAUCUAAGUAAUAAUUUUUA